rnacentral:rRNA from 1 species
UGGGGAAUAUUGGACAAUGGGCGAAAGCCUGAUCCAGCCAUGCCGCGUGUGUGAAGAAGGUCUUCGGAUUGUAAAGCACUUUAAGUUGGGAGGAAGGGCAGUAAGCGAAUACCUUGCUGUUUUGACGUUACCGACAGAAUAAGCACCGGCUAACUCUGUGCCAGCAGCCGCGGUAAUACAGAGGGUGCAAGCGUUAAUCGGAAUUACUGGGCGUAAAGCGCGCGUAGGUGGUUCGUUAAGUUGAAUGUGAAAGCCCCGGGCUCAACCUGGGAACUGCAUCCCAAACUGGCGAGCUAGAGUAGGGCAGAGGGUGGUGGAAUUUCCUGUGGAGCGGUGAAAUGCGUAGAUAUAGGAAGUAACACCAGUGGCGAAGGCGACCACCUGGGCUCAUACUGACACUGAGGUGCGAAAGCGUGGGGAGCAAACAGG